rnacentral:rRNA from 1 species
UGUGAGCAUGACAGGGCGCAGUCUGAUGCAGCAAUGCCGCGUGAGUGAUGAAGGCCUUCGGGUUGUAAAGCUCUUUUACUAGGGAAGAAAAUAUCUGUACCUAUAUAAGGUGGACCGGACCGGUUCAUUCCAGCCCCCCCGCCACUGUAAUAUGC